rnacentral:rRNA from 1 species
GAUUGGAAAAUUUAAGUGCUUAUAGUGGAUGCCUUGGCAAUCAGAGGCUAAGAAGGACGUAGUUACUUACGAUAAUUACGAGUAGAGAGUAAAUCCUUAUUUGAUUCGUAAAGAUUUCCGAAUGGGGUAACCCUAAUAUUACGAGAGUAAGGCGAACGCAGAGAACUGAAACAUCUUAGUAACUGCAGGAAAAGAAAUCAAAAGAGAUUCCCAUAGUAGUGGCGAGCGAAAAGGGAAAAGUCACAAUUAUUGUUUAUAUAUAAAAUUCUAAACCUUUUGAAUAUGGUACCAUAGAAGGUAAAAGUCCUGUGGAUUAAAUUAUAUAUUUAUGUAAUGAUUGAUAGAGUAAAACGAAACACGUGAAACUUUGUUUGAAAAAAGGAAGACCACUUUCUAAGACUAAAUACUACUGAUUGACCUAUAGUGAACUAGUACCGUGAGGGAAAGGUGAAAAGAACCCCGAGUAGGGGAGUGAAAUAGACCUGAAACUGUAAGCACACAAUAAGUCGGAGCUUUUAUAAUAAAGUGACGGCGUACCUUUUGUAUAAUGGGUCAGCGACUUAUAUUUAGUAGCAAGCUUAACAUUAGGUAGGCGUAGAGAAAUCAAGUUUUAAAAGAGCGAAUUAGUUUCUAGAUAUAGACCCGAAACCAGACGAUCUAUCCAUGAUCAGGAUGAAAGGUAAAUAAAACCACCUGGAGGUCCGAACCCACUAACGUUGCAAAGUUAGGGGAUGAAUUGUGGAUAGGAGUGAAAGGCUAAUCAAGUUUGGAGAUAGCUGGUUCUCUUCGAAAGCUAUUUAGGUAGCGCCUUAUAUCUCUUUUUCAGGGGUAGAGCUCUGAUAUGGUUCUAGAAAUAGUUAACCAUUGCAAACUUCGAAUACUGAACUAAGAAGUUAUAAGAGACAGACAUUGGGUGAUAAGGUCCAAUGUCGAGAGGGAAAGAGCCCAGACUACAUGAUAAGGUCCCUAAAUACUAACUAAGUGUUUAACGAUGUUUUAAAACAAAUACAAUCAGGAGGUAGGCUUAGAAGCAGUCAUCCUUUAAAGAAAGCGUAAAAGCUCACUGGUCUAGUUUUUUUGCACGGAAGAUAAUCGGGGCUAAGUUAGUUACCGAGGCAGUAGAACGGUUGUUUGUAAACAACCGUUGGUAGAAGAGCGUUCCUAAUCGGAGAAGGUAAUUUGUGAGAAUUUCUGGAGAGAAAGGAAGUGAGAAUGCUGACAUAAGUAACGUAAAAGAGAGUGAAAAUCUCUCUCACCUAUAGUCUAAGGUUUCCUACGCUAUGUUUAUCAACGUAGGGUUAGUCGGUACCUAAGGCGAGGUAGAAAUACGUAGUCGAUGGAAAUUAGGUUAAUAUUCCUAAACUUUAUAAAGAAGUGAAGAAAGGACAAAUAGCUGAAAAACAAAUAGAUAUUGGGUCAUUCUAUUCUUUUGUUUAGAUGUGGUAAAAGAAAAUCUUUACCUUUAUUCAAAAAUAAGGGGUGUAAAUUUAUUACUUACAUUGUUAGUAAGUUGUUUCUAGAAAAGUUUCUAAACUUUUCUUUAUAAAAGCCGUACUAAAACCGACACAGGUAGACAAGAUGAGUAUUCUAAGGUGUGAGAUAACUCAGGAGAAGGAACUCGGCAAAAUUAUACCGUAACUUUGGAAUAAGGUAUGCCAAUAAAAGAAAGGAAAGAAAAUUGGCCUCAGUAAAUCGAUAGCUGCGACUGUUUAAUAAAAACACAGCACUCUGCAAACACGCAAGUGGAAGUAUAGGGUGUGACGCCUGCCCAGUGCUGAAAGAUUAAAAAUUAGGUGUUAAAGCACUUAAACUAAGUCUCAGUAAACGGCGGCCGUAACUAUAACGGUCCUAAGGUAGCGAAAUUCCUUGUCGGGUAAGUUCCGACCCGCACGAAUGGCGUAACGAUGGCUAUACUGUCUCCUCCUGAGACUCAGUGAAAUUGAAAUGUUCGUGAAGAUGCGAAUUACCUGCGGCAAGACGGAAAGACCCCAUGAACCUUUACUGUAUCUUUGUAUUGUUGGUAGUUUUAUAAUGUGUAGGCUAGGUAGGAGAUUUAUUCUAAAGGUGAAAUACUACUCUUUAUAGAACUAAUGACUAACCUAAUGUUUUGAAUCAAACAUAGGGAAAAUGCAUGGUGGGCAGUUUGACUGGGGCGGUCUCCUCCUAAAGAGUAACGGAGGAGCACAAAGGUGUGCUUAAUACGGAAGGAAACCGUAUAUAUAAGUGUAAUGGCAAAAGCACGCUUAACUGUGAGACAUACAAGUCGAACAGAUGCGAAAGCAGGUCAUAGUGAUCCGGUAGUACCAUGUGGAAGGGCUAUCGCUUAACGAAUAAAAGGUACUCUGGGGAUAACAGGCUAAUACCGCUCAAGAGUUCAUAUCGACGGCGGUGUUUGGCACCUCGAUGUCGGCUCAUCUCAUCCUGGGGCUGAAGAAGGUCCCAAGGGUAUGGCUGUUCGCCAUUAAAAGAGGUACGUGAGCUGGGUUUAAAACGUCGUGAGACAGUUUGGUCCCUAUCUGCCGUAGGCGAUGGAGGUUUGAGGAGUCUACUUCUAGUACGAGAGGACCGAAGUGGGUGUACAUAUGGUGUACCGGUUGUUAUACCAAUAGCAUAGCCGGGUAGCUAAGUACUUAAAGAUAACUGCUGAAAGCAUAUAAGUAGGAAGCUUUUUCCAAGAUUAAACCUCCCUAAUAUAAGGGUUGUCCAAGAUCAGGACUUCGAUAGGUUGUAUGUGUAGAUAUAGUAAUAUAAGAGCUUAACAAUACUAAUUACCCUAAAGAUCCAACUAC